ACCUGACCGGCUCAGUCGGCAGAGCCUGCGACUCUUGGUCGCAAGAUUGUAAGUUCGAGCCCCAUGUUGGGUG
rnacentral:tRNA from 1 species